UCAGAACAGCAACUAGCACAGUGAAUUCCAAAAUAUGGCGUCAAAAACGUUCCUUUUCACAGUUCUCGUUUUCGCGAUUGUUCUUGGGAACGUUUCUUAUACUGCUGCAAUUCGAGCAACAGGCAUACACACACAGAAUGUUGGCAAACGAAGGAUAAAUGAGAAUCAGCUCUGGAGAGCCGCAUUUGCCGACCAAGAAAGAGACGAGGUCUGUGACAUGGCCAGUCAAAUGGGAUGUUCAGGAAGCAAGAGAGGACGCUAGAAAUAGUUGCCCGCCAAAUGAUACUAUGGCUAUUACCUCAACUUGCAUAGUGAACGUUUCGGCAAGAUGAAUUAUUUUAAACGACAGUGUUUAUAUCUAAGCCAUGAUAAAAAAAUGAAACAAAGCAAUAUUAAAAGGAAUUAAAAACAUGUUCACAAUUUCAAA